UUCCUACACUUGCGUUAAACCUGGACAAGAUUUGACAAACCCACACCCUGCUUUUGCCUCGCAAAGAGAAGGACAGUCUGCUUUACAGAAUCUGCAGGGAGUCAGCGAGAGUGGGAAGCCUUUCCUUUUCCAAGCACAGACAACUGUCAAUAUCUAACGAGGCACCUGCUCCUAUCUCACGGUUUCUAUAAAACCCCCAUUUUGCAUGAGCUGACAGCUCGUGGUAUGAAAGGCAGCAGUUUCCUCACAUUCAAGAGCUCAGCAGGAGUCUGACAAGGUAGGAUACUACCAUUAGCUGAUCACCAGUCAGUAAGUGCCGGGGAUGCUGCUUCACACAAAGAGCCCAACAUUGUCUUUUUGCAAGAUAGCAGAUCUUGAGCUGGCAGGAGCUCGGUGGUGUACUCCCACCUCCCACAUUACCUGAGUCAUUAGAAUUGCUGAAGAUUUCGUAGCAAGGCAAACGUAUAUGGAUGUGUGUGUGUGUGUGUGUAUAGGUAUAUCUAUAUAUGGAUCUAUGCUUCAGGAUGUGUUGUAGUAAUUGCUUUCAAAUCCACCUGAUUUAUAUC
rnacentral:lncRNA from 1 species